CCUACGGGAGGCUGCAGUAGGGAAUUUUGCGCAAUGGGCGAAAGCCUGACGCAGCAACGCCGCGUGAUUGAUUAAGCUCUUCGGGGUGUAAAGAUCUGUCAGUGGGGACGAAACUUGACGGUACCCACAGCGGAAGCACCGGCUAACUCCGUGGCAGCAGACGCGGUAAUACGGAGGGUGCAAGCGUUGUCCGGAAUUAUUGGGCGUAAAGGGUGCGUAGAUGGCAUAGUAAGUCUUUUGUAAAAAUGCUGGGCUCAACCCAGUAGGGCAAAAGAUACUGCAAGGCUAGAGUAUGACAGAGGCAAGUGGAACUACAUGUGUAGCGGUAAAAUGCGUAAAUAUAUGUAAGAACACCAGUGGCGAAGGCGGCUUGCUGGGUCGAUACUGACAUUGAGGCACGAAAGAGUGGGGAGCAAACAGGAUUAGAUACCCCAGUAGUC
rnacentral:rRNA from 1 species